ensembl:miRNA
GUUGGCCAGAAAAGUUUGUUCGGGUUUUCCAGAGGGUGUUACCCAUCAAAUGAACUUUUCAGCCAAC